AUCGCUCCUCGGCCUUUUGGCUAAGAUGGAGUGUAGUAUCUGUUCUUAUUACUACCUGCUACAUCCUCUAUCUAUCGAGGACAAUAUAUGAAAUGGAGUUGGGGGGCAGAGACUGGAACAGGCGCUUGCUCCAGCCACUCCACACAUCGGCCUGGUAAUGCAGCACCUCCAGGAAUGGUGCCCGAGAA